UUGAAGUUUUUUGAUGGGGAGUCGGACCUGCCCGGUGAAAUUUAUUUAACGGCCGCGGUACUCUGACCGUGCAAAGGUAGCAUAAUCAUUUGCCUUAUAAUUGAAGGCUGGUAUGAAUGGUUUGACAAGAAUGCGACUGUCUCUUUACAAUUUGGUAGAAUUUUAUUUUUAGGUGAAAAAGCCUUGAUUGGAUUAAAAGACAAGAAGACCCUAUCGAGCUUUAAAAAAAUUAAUGGGUGUUAAAUUUUUAUUUAAAAAAUACAGCUGUUAAAUAUUUUGGUUGGGGCGACUGAGGAACAUAGAGAGCUUCCUUUAUAUAUUGUUUAAAAUACAGUUAUUGAUCCGUAGUUAGCGAUUAAAGGAAUUAGUUACCGUAGGGAUAACAGCAUAAUCCUUUUUGAGAGCUCUAAUCGAAAAAGGGGUUUGUGACCUCGAUGUUGGACCAGAAUGUCCUAAAGAUGCAGAAGUCUUUAAGGGUUGGUCUGUUCGACCAUUAAAAUUCUA
rnacentral:rRNA from 1 species